AUACAGAGGUGGCGAGCGUUGUUCGGAUUUACUGGGCGUAAAGGGCGCGUAGGCGGCCGGAUGUGUCGGAUGUGAAAUCUCCGGGCUCAACCCGGAAAGUGCGUUCGAAACUGUCCGGCUCGAGUGCGGAAGGGGAGUGCGGAAUGCAGGGUGUAGCGGUGAAAUGCGUUGAUAUCCUGCAGAACACCGGUGGCGAAGGCGGCACUCUGGGACGCAACUGACGCUGAGGCGCGAAAGCGUGGGGAGCAAACAGGAUUAGAUACCCUGGUAGUCCACGCCCUAAACGGUGUACACUUGACGUGGGGGUUUCACCGCCUCCGUGUCGCAGCUAACGCUUUAAGUGUACCGCCUGGGGAGUACGGCCGCAAGGCUAAAACUCAAAUGAAUUGACGGGG
rnacentral:rRNA from 1 species